rnacentral:lncRNA from 1 species
GUUUCUUUCUCUCCAAAUGAGUGCAGUAGUGGUAACAAAUGCAGCAGCUGUAAUUGCAUUCUGCCACAGCUUGCUUUUAGCUUUGCUACAAAUCCAGUGAAUCUCAGUGUCCCAGCAUCCAAUGGUUCUGGAAUGCCCCAACCAAACACAAAUUCUGGACCACAAACUGUUGGUAAUGGAACAUUCAAAGAAUAGGUGCUUGAAGACUUCAUCAUUCUGUUUGCAGAAUACACA